rnacentral:lncRNA from 1 species
AGUUGUUAUCAUAUUUGAUUUCGCGAUAAUGUCAUACCAAAAAAGAAUUAUAAUUCUACACCUCAGUCAUCCAAGAAUUAUGUUACUAUACUAUCGAUAGUAUCAAACGCUUGGUGCUAUCAAGUUUUUGACCGUUGGAUGAAAAGAUAUACUGUUUGGAUGAUAGUGGUCUCCUGAGGUUGAGUGGGUGGUUGGUUGAAUUAUAUAAUCUAACAGGUGAAAAUAAUAAAAGAGUAAAUCUAACAGCAAAAAAUUAAAUAGUACUAAGAGUUUGAUACUAGAAAAUUCAAUAGUACUAAGAGUUUGACACUAUCAAUAGUAUAUUAGCCGAACUUAUCAUCCAAAGCCUACUUUUUUUCUCCCAACCUUAUUAUGUUUUUUUAAUAAUAAAAUUGUCAAAAAAAGUAUUUAAAUCUUAGGAGAGAGAGGAUUUUAACCCUUGAAUGGAGAGUUCUAAUCCUACAACUCUUUUUACAUUGCACAAGGAGGGAUUCGAUGCCGUCCGUUCAUCCUUUCCGUUCAAUCAAACUAUACUUUUCACAAUUUUUAUUCUAAAAAAAAAAUUUGACCUUAAUGAAAAGGAUUAAUUAAAAGGAAAAGAUGCUUUGCCAAUUUUAUUCGGCCUCUAGUUGUUAUCAUAUUUGAUUUCGCGAUAAUGUCAUACCAAAAAAGAAUUAUAAUUCUACACCUCAGUCAUCCAAGAAUUAUGUUACUAUACUAUCGAUAGUAUCAAACGCUUGGUGCUAUCAAGUUUUUGACCGUUGGAUGAAAAGAUAUAUUGUUAAGAUGAUAGUGAUCCCUAGGGUUGAGUGGGUGGUUGGUUGAAUUAUAUAAUCUAACAGGUGAAAAUAAUAAAAGGGUAAAUCUAACAGUGAAAAAUUUAAUAGUACUAAGAGUUUGAUACUAGAAAAUUCAAUAGUACUAAGAGUUUGACACUAUCAAUAGUAUAUUAGCCGAACUUAUCAUCCAAAGCCUACUUUUUUUCUCCCAACCUUAUUAUGUUUUUCUAAAAAUA